UACGUAGGGCGCAAGCGUUGUCCGGAAUUAUUGGGCGUAAAGAGCUCGUAGGCGGUCUGUCGCGUCCGUUGUGAAAACUCGAGGCUCAACCUCGGGCUUGCAGUGGAUACGGGCAGACUAGAGUGCGGUAGGGGAGACUGGAAUUCCUGGUGUAGCGGUGGAAUGCGCAGACAUCAGGAGGAACACCGAUGGCGAAGGCAGGUCUCUGGGCCGCAACUGACGCUGAGGAGCGAAAGCAUGGGGAGCGAACAGG
rnacentral:rRNA from 1 species